GCUGGUGUAGCUCAGUUGGUAGAGCAACUGAUUUGUAAUCAGUAGGUCACGAGUUCGAGUCUCGUCCCCAGCU
rnacentral:tRNA from 15 species